rnacentral:lncRNA from 1 species
UUAGAAUGGUUUAUUCUAAGUGGCGAUACUCUUUAUGGUGGAGUGUGACAGGUGUUCAGCAAUGUGGAGUAUGACGGAUAGCUGCUGCUAUGAUCAUUUUUAAUCAAGGUGGAGUUUGUUGGGAUUUUGCUUAAAAAUGAAUGGUCAUUGUCCCACAUUGGAAAAAUGUUGAAGAGUAGCUUGGAGGCUUGCCUGUAUAAGGGGGCUUAAGUUAUGUUUUCAAAUGUACCA